rnacentral:tRNA from 1 species
AUAGCUCAGGGGUAGAGCAUUUGACUGCAGAUCAGGAGGCCCCUGGUUCAAGUCCAGGU